AGUGAACGCUGGCGGCAGGCCUAAUACAUGCAAGUCGAACGGCAGCACAGUGGAGCUUGCUCCAUGGGUGGCGAGUGGCGGACGGGUGAGGAAUACAUGGGAAUCUGCCCAGUCGUGGGGGAUAACGUAUGGAAACGUACGCUAAUACCGCAUGCGCCCUUCGGGGGAAAGUCGGGGACCGCAAGGCCUGACGCGAUUGGAUGAGCCCAUGUUCGAUUAGCUAGUUGGCGGGGUAACGGCCCACCAAGGCGACGAUCGAUAGCUGGUCUGAGAGGAUGAUCAGCCACACUGGAACUGAGACACGGUCCAGACUCCUACGGGAGGCAGCAGUAGGGAAUAUUGGACAAUGGGCGCAAGCCUGAUCCAGCCAUGCCGCGUGAGUGAAGAAGGCCCUCGGGUUGUAAAGCUCUUUGUUGGGAAGAAAAGCAGUUGGUUAAUACCCGAUUGUUCUGACGGUACCCAAAGAAUAAGCACCGGCUAACUUCGUGCCAGCAGCC
rnacentral:rRNA from 1 species